CACGUAGGGCGCGAGCGUUGUCCGGAAUUAUUGGGCGUAAAGAGCUCGUAGGCGGCCUGUGCGUCCGCUGUGAAAGCCCGGGGCUUAACCCCGGGUCUGCAGUGGAUACGGGCAGGCUAGAGGUAGGUAGGGGAGAAUGGAAUUCCCGGUGUAGCGGUGAAAUGCGCAGAUAUCGGGAGGAACACCGGUGGCGAAGGCGGUUCUCUGGGCCUUACCUGACGCUGAGGAGCGAAAGCGUGGGGAGCGAACAGG
rnacentral:rRNA from 1 species